UUAUUCUUAUUUCUGGGGUUGUUUUGGCUCUAUAUUUGAUCGGUUUAUUGGCUAUUAGGACUAAAAUGAUUUGAUUUCAACCCACUUGGCUGUUUAGUAUAUGUUUGAUCAACAUUUUCAUAUAUCUUGCUCUUGGAAUUGUAGCUGAUGUCCAUUUUAUUAGAAUUUUAAACUGCCCUUUAAUCAUUUUGUGCUUAAUGAUGAGCUAAACGUGACAAUGGGUACUCAUAUUGAUGAUUUCUCUGCAAAGUAGCUUUUUGAGGACAUCUCAUGGUUAUCAUGUUCCAUUUUAAACAAGAAUAUUUGUUGUGGCAAGAAGUGCUUUGCAUAUUGUUAUUCACUAUCUGAAGUUUUUGCCAAACAUGGAUUACCAAUGGCUUUGUGUUUUCCUGAUUGAUGAGAGACAACUUCCAUAACCAAGUGGGUUAUGUUGCAACAACUUUAAAGCUGAAAGUAACAUUUUGAUUCUUAGUAUGUGAUUUAGUAUAUGAUUUGCCUUUGCUCUGUUCACAUUUGGGACCCUUGCAUCUGAAACUGCCGGCUUCAGUAAUUUUGGAUGUUUGAUAACUCUUAGCUGAAUGGAUAUUUAGUUUUCUACUUGUGAAGACUCUAGUUGCCCAUGGCUAAGACUGUUUUUUAAGCAUUGAAAAGGUAUAUAAGGCUAAGAAGCACUUAGGUCUUUAUUCUUUUAUCAUCAUUUCUUUGGUAUAAUUAAUAUUUUGUUUCUGUAUCUUUCAGGGUUGCAAAUGACCAUGUUAAUUUAUAUACUUCAGCUUCCAUGCUGUUCACAUCAUUAUGUCCUCUUUCAAUCUUUUGUUGCAGAUAGAGGUGGAAUAUGCCAAUGGUAGCAAGUUUAAUCUGUCAUCUGAAUUUUUGAGAAUACAUAGUCCAGCUGUUGAUGGGAAAGUUAGGUCAAUUGGAGGCGAGAAGGUAAUAUUUGUCAGAACUCAUCUUCUUUGCAAAUUUUAAAAUUUGGUGUUUCCUUUUUAUUUAUUUUUGUUUCCCCCUUUGAUUCCUAUAUUAAAUAUAUUUCAUCGUCCAAAAUAUUUGUUAUUUUGCAUUUGUUGUUUUUCUUAAUAUUUUCAUGUAGUUAGAAUAAAUUAGUGGAUGGAUACUUCCAUAUUUGGGUAUCAUAUAAGUUUCAAAGUUCAUUAUUUUUGCAAGUCUCAACCCAGCAGUGGUAAAAAUUACUGUAAUUCAAUAUAUGAGCUGAUGUUGAGUUUCUUUCCUACUCCACUGCUCUGUGUCCACUUAUGUACGUUUUAAGAUAGAGAAACAGGAAAAAAAAUGUAGGCAGGCAUGAAUUAGUUGAACACCCUUUUUGUUGUACGCGUGCAUGGCUAAACCUAGGGCCUAAGGUCAAGCUAAGCACAAAUUUAUUAACCUGUUUGAGUGCUUGACAUUUCUUGAUUAGGUGAUUUUUGGGCGGCGGCAUGUGGGUGUCAUGUCUGCAGAACCUGUAGGAAACUAUGGGGUAAGGUAUUUAAGUUCAUUUUGUCAUUGUCUUUGGUUCCUAUACCUUGUAGCAAGUAGAAAGAUAUAGUUUAUUUAUGGUGACGGUUUCCUUCUGAUCGGAUGGUUCAGGAUAGUAUUUGAUGAUUUGCAUAAAACUGGGAUCUAUACAUGGGAUUAUUUUUAUCAUCUUGGUAGCAAUAAGUUUACCCUGAUGAGAAAUUAUAUCAAAACACUAAGGAAGCAUGGACUCAGCCGGGAUCCACCUAAAAGAAAAUGAUGGAGACUUGAUUUUGAUCAUCCCAGUUGAUUCCUUAAUCCAUGUUGGGUGAUGAUCACAAAGCUGACUCAAAGUUGGUUAAAGAUUUCCUUCAUACACCUGGUGCUGAAGUUCUAAUAUCAUCCAGGAUUUAAAGCAAUGGAAGCAUUGUUUAUGGAAGAUCAGUAAGGGUCUGGAAAUGAAAUACAACUGUUUUACUCAUUUUGAAGUUGUAUGCUUUUAAGCCAAUUUUUCUGGCCAAAUGCUAACUUUUAAUUUGGUUGUCUGCUUGAAAUUUUUACACUCUCUUGUUGAACAGGAAAUCAAUCAGAAAAAAGUACAAAUGAUUGUUAUUUUUCACUUGCUAAAAA
rnacentral:misc_RNA from 1 species